CCUACGGGAGGCAGCAGUGAGGAAUAUUGGUCAAUGGCCGGAAGGCUGAACCAGCCAUGCCGCGUGAAGGUCAGUGCCCUAUGGGCGUUAAACUUCUUUUGUGCGGGAGCAAUAAUGGUCACGUGUGGCCAGACGAGAGUACCGUACGAAUAAGCAUCGGCUAACUCCGUGCCAGCAGCCGCGGUAAUACGGGGGAUGCAAGCGUUAUCCGGAUUUAUUGGGUUUAAAGGGUGCGUAGGAUGGGAGGUAAGUCAGCGGUGAAAUGCCCCCGGUCAACGGGGUGAAGUGCCAUUGAUACUGCCAUGCUGGAAUGCGGAUGCCGUGGGAGGAAUGUGCGGUGUAGCGGUGAAAUGCAUAGAUAUCACACAGAACACCGAUUGCGAAGGCAUCUCACGAAUCCGAGAUUGACGCUGAUGCACGAAAGCGUGGGUAUCAAACAGGAUUAGAUACCCGGGUAGUC
rnacentral:rRNA from 1 species